AGUAACACGUGGAUAACCUGCCUCAAGGCUGGGGAUAACAUUUGGAAACAGAUGCUAAUACCGAAUAAAACUUAGUAUCGUAUGAUAUCAAGUUAAAAGGCGCUACGGCGUCACCUAGAGAUGGAUCCGCGGUGCAUUAGUUAGUUGGUGGGGUAAAGGCUUACCAAGACGAUGAUGCAUAGCCGAGUUGAGAGACUGAUCGGCCACAUUGGGACUGAGACACGGCCCAAACUCCUACGGAAGGCAGCAG
rnacentral:rRNA from 1 species